rnacentral:rRNA from 1 species
GACGAACGCUGGCGGCGUGCCUAAUACAUGCAAGUUGAGCGAUGAAGAUUGGUGCUUGCACCAAUUUGAAGAGCAGCGAACGGGUGAGUAACGCGUGGGGAAUCUGCCUUUGAGCGGGGGACAACAUUUGGAAACGAAUGCUAAUACCGCAUAACAACUUUAAACAUAAGUUUUAAGUUUGAAAGAUGCAAUUGCAUCACUCAAAGAUGAUCCCGCGUUGUAUUAGCUAGUUGGUGAGGUAAAGGCUCACCAAGGCGAUGAUACAUAGCCGACCUGAGAGGGUGAUCGGCCACAUUGGGACUGAGACACGGCCCAAACUCCUACGGGAGGCAGCAGUAGGGAAUCUUCGGCAACGGACGAAAGUCCGACCGAGCAACGCCGCGUGAGUGAAGAAGGUUUUCGGAUCGUAAAACUCUGUUGGUAGAGAAGAACGUUGGUGAGAGUGGAAAGCUCAUCAAGUGACGGUAACUACCCAGAAAGGGACGGCUAACUACGUG